rnacentral:lncRNA from 1 species
UUUUUUUUUGGCAUCAACGUUUGCUCUAUUUCAUCUAACGUUGUUAUAAGUGCGUCUUGUUCCUUAUUGUUUCAGAUACUGGAUCUCAUUUUUCUUCCCUUCCAAAUUGGGAGGAGUGAUAUGGAACAAAGAGUAACUUUUUAUAAAAUUACUUGUCUAUCCUUACUCCCUAAUUACUCUCAUUCAAUACCCCUCUCAAAACAAAAUGCAGCAGUCGGAUGACUUUGAGAACUGAGAGCUCCAUCACUAUUUCAAUGUUGACGAUCCACUGCACCGCUCAAGGUAAUUUUCCCCCUUCCUCGUAUUCUAUGUAAUUCAUGAGCAUUAUUGCCUGCUGUAUUUUCUUUAUCUUCUAAUGGGAAUGAAUGAAAGAUCCAGACUUUAGGAUAUCACAGGGUUUGACAAUUCUUCAUUUGAUGUACCUUAUAUGUGCCACAAUGUGGGCAUUCUUUGAAUUAAGGAAAAUAUAAUUGGACAACAUUUAUUUAUGUUUCACGAAUUCACACCUUGAAAGUUUUCGGUGUAGUUAACCGAUCUUUGGACUUAUACAAGUCAUGUACAUCAAUGGAGCUGGAUAUUUAGCUCAGACAACGAUCCUUUUUUAAUGAGAUUUUUUUCGAGACACAUUAUGUUUAUGUUAAAAGCUUUUUCUGGUUUUCUGCAACUAACAAUGCUGAUUUGGAUUGUUUGUAUAUACAUCAGGAGAUCUAGUUUUUAACAUCUUAGGGGACUAUACCUUGUGCCUCUGUAUAGUUCUGAACAAAUGGGCUAAAAGGAAAUUCAUACAAUGAUUAAAUCCGAUUUGUGGUAUGAAUGGGGAAAGUGAAGUGUGCUGUUAAAUGCUUUUACCUUUUGUUAAUUUGAUUGGUACUGUUAGAUGUUUAAGUGACUCUGCUGUUCUUCUAACAAUGGAUUGGCGUUUGUGUAUGUUUUAAUGCAAUUGUGUCGUUUGUCUUUCUAACAACGAAAAUGAAUGUUUUUUAAUAAGUCAUACAUCCUUUUUCAUCAUAAUUAUAUAUUGCAGUUCAUAUUUUUAAAAAUAAGGCUAAUAUAGCUAUAAAACAAUUUAUUCCCAUUCUUUUCCUUACCUAGACAAUGAAAUGGAAAUUUUGCUCUAAACAAUGGAAUGAAAGUUUUAUUCCAUUAAGGUCCAUUUAAUUUUAAUCGAUUCUAUUCUAUUAAUCUUUUUUCAUCGAUGCAAACAUAGUCUUACAGUAACUCCAUCUGAGGUGCUCUAGUGCACUGAGCUUAAUAAGAGCUAUUUAACAAGAGUCCUGGAGCCUUAUGGAGGUGCCUAAUAUGUUUGGGUGAGAAAGAGAUGUUAGACUGGAUUAUGUACUUUUAGUAAUGGAUUUAGCUAUUCAAGUAAUAAUCAUAGCAGUAGUGUAGAUAACUUGUAUAAUGAAUCUGCAGAUAUUGCAAAAUAGAAUGAUUAUUUAUCUGUUUAGCGUUCUCAUUGAUAGGUGAGUGGAACGCAGAACUAAUCGGCCAGAUCUCUUCGCACAACCUUUAAUGCCAGAGAUUUCUUGGCAAUGCAC